UUAAUACAAAUAUGGAUCUAUUCUUUUGAUCCUUGCAUACAUAGUUUUACACAAUUUUAUUUUGAUUCCCAAAUGAAACCCAAAAUUGUCAUAAUGGAAUUAUAGUUGCUUUAAGAAGCUAAUGAUCCUUAAUAAUGUGUACGUAGUGAAACUGGCCUGGCAUAUUCUUACUAGUCCUUACGAAUUGUGGGUGAAAGUGAUGAAGGCCAAACAUGGUUGUGGCACUUGUACUAUUCCUGUAUAAUCAUAAAGAAGCUUCUACUAGCACUUGGAGAGCAAUAACGUAUGCUUAGGAUGAUGGUAAAUGCAUUUGCAUAGUUCGUGAUGUUCUCGAUACAAAAUUCUGGAAAGAUUCUUGCCUUAAAAGCAUUAGUUGCACUGCUUAAGCUGUUAGCAAUACCAUCCCAGCCAGAGUGCUUUAUUUCCAGAUUUUUUUACAUGAUUGCUUAUGUUAAACCUCCCAGCCUCUCGAAUUUCCUACGAAGGCAAGGGAAAAUACUUGGGUGACUUUGUCACUAUCUCCCUCCUAGCCAAUCAUUCAUAUAUCAUCCUCUCAUCAAAAGUUACCAACAUCACCAAAACUUGAAUGACGGGGCGUCUACGUGACAAAUGACCCCACAAAAAUGAUUUAAUAAAUUAUAAAACUAAUAAAAAAAGAGCAUUGCUAUAUACUGUCAGAGAUAUCUUGUGAAGACACCACAAUUAAAAAACAGAUCAAUAAAAAAACAUGGUGCUUCAGUGCAAUACAAGUGAGUAAAUACAUGCAGUAUUCCUCUCGACGUAAAUUCUAUCACGAUAAGUAGCGUUUCCGAUGAAAAAUGCGAGGCUUACAAACAAAAAUAGUUAUUAUCUAUAGAUAUAUAAUUGCCAUAAUACCAAUAAUCGAUUGUGGCUAUUUGAAACACCUAUAGUACGUGUUUUUAAACACCUAAAGUAAUAGUUGCAUUCAAAUUUUAAAUUAGGAUGAAAAAAAAAAGGAACCAUAAAACUAAAACUAUAUCACUGCCUGGCUCCAUCCUGCAUGCCUGUGUUUUCCUAUAUCUCACAAAUCAUUGUUUUUCUUUAUAUAUAGCAAAGUUACAUUGCAAUCCUUGGCCUUCUGAAUUCUUUGUCAACAAGGAUGUAUACAUGUCGAAGUUUGUUAUUGUCGAAGUUUUCGUCUCUUCAUUGUUCUUCUCUUUCUGGAAAGUACAACUCUGAGAGAAUAUAACGAACAGUUAGAAAAAGAGAAAAGGAAGAAACAUGCUGUGUUGAUAGAGAGAUAUGAAAUGAAAGAGAUUGGUUUAUAUAUAAGGGACACAUUUUUGCCCGUGCGUCUUGUUUAUGCAACCCAAAUACGUGUUUUGGCCGGUGAUUACCCUUUUCUUUG
rnacentral:lncRNA from 1 species